rnacentral:misc_RNA from 1 species
UAACAACUGAAAGGAGGUGCUCUAGUGUCUAUUGAGAACUUGGAGAUAGGUGUCGGAACAGUUUGGGAGAAGCAGAUCUGAGGCAACCCUUAGGGACUGCUAAACACAAAUUGGUGCCAGCCUAACCGGCGCACCUCCGAAAACUCAAGAAGGGUUGUCCGUUACGCAAACAGGCAACCC